rnacentral:rRNA from 1 species
GGUUUAAGCGUGUAGGUGUGUGUUCCAGGUAAAUCCGGUUCACUUUAACACUGAGGCGUGAUGACGAGGCACUACGGUGCUGAAGUAACAAAUGCCCUGCUUCCAGGAAAAGCCUCUAAGCAUCAGGUAACAUCAAAUCGUACCCCAAACCGACACAGGUGGUCAGGUAGAGAAUACCAAGGCGCUUGAGAGAACUCGGGUGAAGGAACUAGGCAAAAUGGUGCCGUAACUUCGGGAGAAGGCACGCUGACACGUAGGUGAAGUGAUUUACUCACGGAGCUGAAGUCAGUCGAAGAUACCAGCUGGCUGCAACUGUUUAUUAAAAACACAGCACUGUGCAAACACGAAAGUGGACGUAUACGGUGUGACGCCUGCCCGGUGCCGGAAGGUUAAUUGAUGGGGUCAGCGCAAGCGAAGCUCCUGAUCGAAGCCCCGGUAAACGGCGGCCGUAACUAUAACGGUCCUAAGGUAGCGAAAUUCCUUGUCGGGUAAGUUCCGACCUGCACGAAUGGCGUAAUGAUGGCCAGGCUGUCUCCACCCGAGACUCAGUGAAAUUGAACUCGCUGUGAAGAUGCAGUGUACCCGCGGCAAGACGGAAAGACCCCGUGAACCUUUACUAUAGCUUGACACUGAACAUUGAGCCUUGAUGUGUAGGAUAGGUGGGAGGCUUUGAAGUGUGGACGCCAGUCUGCAUGGAGCCGACCUUGAAAUACCACCCUUUAAUGUUUGAUGUUCUAACGUGGACCCGUUACCCGGGUUGCGGACAGUGUCUGGUGGGUAGUUUGACUGGGGCGGUCUCCUCCUAAAGAGUAACGGAGGAGCACGAAGGUUGGCUAAUCCUGGUCGGACAUCAGGAGGUUAGUGCAAUGGCAUAAGCCAGCUUGACUGCGAGCGUGACGGCGCGAGCAGGUGCGAAAGCAGGUCAUAGUGAUCCGGUGGUUCUGAAUGGAAGGGCCAUCGCUCAACGGAUAAAAGGUACUCCGGGGAUAACAGGCUGAUACCGCCCAAGAGUUCAUAUCGACGGCGGUGUUUGGCACCUCGAUGUCGGCUCAUCACAUCCUGGGGCUGAAGUAGGUCCCAAGGGUAUGGCUGUUCGCCAUUUAAAGUGGUACGCGAGCUGGGUUUAGAACGUCGUGAGACAGUUCGGUCCCUAUCUGCCGUGGGCGCUGGAGAACUGAGGGGGGCUGCUCCUAGUACGAGAGGACCGGAGUGGACGCAUCACUGGUGUUCGGGUUGUCAUGCCAAUGGCACUGCCCGGUAGCUAAAUGCGGAAGAGAUAAGUGCUGAAAGCAUCUAAGCACGAAACUUGCCCCGAGAUGAGUUCUCCCUGAGACUUUAGGUCUCCUGAAGGAACGUUGAAGACGACGACGUUGAUAGGCCGGGUGUGUAAGCGCAGCGAUGCGUUGAGCUAACCGGUACUAAUGAACCGUGAGGCUUAACCUUACAACGCCG